AGGCGCGUAGCUCAGUGGUAGAGCAUCACCUUGACAUGGUGGGGGUCGGUGGUUCAAUCCCACUCGCGCCUA
rnacentral:tRNA from 1 species